GUGUCAGCAGCCGCGCGGUAAUACGAAGGGGGCUAGCGUUGUUCGGAAUCACUGGGCGUAAAGCGUAUGUAGGCGGAUCAAAAAGUUAGAUGUGAAAUCCCUGGGCUCAACCCAGGAACUGCAUUUAAAACUAGUGAUCUAGAAUUUGGUAGGGGUUAGUAGAAUUUCCAGUGUAGAGGUGAAAUUCGUAGAUAUUGGAAAGAAUACCAGUGGCGAAGGCGACUAACUGGGCCAUUUUUGACGCUGAGAUACGAAAGCGUGGGUAGCAAACAGGAUUGGAUACCCUGGUAGUCCACGCAGUAAACGAUGAGUGCUAGUCGCUGGGACAAUAGUUUCAGUGUCGAAGCUAACGCAUUAAGCACUCCGCCUGGGAAGUACGGUCGCAAGAUUAAAACUCAAAUAAAUUGACGGGGGCCCGCACAAGCGGUGGAGCAUGUGGUUUAAUUCGAAGCAACGCGAAGAACCUUACCAGACCUUGACAUGGUGUGUUUGAAUUACAGAAUCGUAAUUCUUCAGUUCGGCUGGCACACACACAGGUGCUGCAUGGCUGUCGUCAGCUCGUGUCGUGAGGUGUCGGGUUAAGUCCCAUAACGAGCGCAACCCCUAUUUUUAGUUACCAGCGAAUAAUGUCGGGAACUCUAGAAAGACUGCCUGUGUAAACAGUGAGGAAGGUGGGGAUGACGUCAAAUCAUCACGGCCCUUUAUGUCUUGGGCUACACACGUGUUACAAUGGUUACUACAGUGGGCUGCCAUCUGGCAACAGAGAGCAAAUCCAUAAAGGUAAUCCCAGUUUCGGAUCGGAGUCUUGCAACUCGACUCUAUAA
rnacentral:rRNA from 1 species